rnacentral:rRNA from 1 species
GGAGGAAAAGAAACUAACAAGGAUUCCCCUAGUAACGGCGAGUGAAGCGGGAUGAGCUCAAAUUUAAAAUCUGGCGGCCUCAGGUCGUCCGAGUUGUAGUCUAGAGAAUCGUUUUCCGCGUUGGCCUGUGUACAAGUCCCUUGGAACAGGGCGUCAUAGAGGGUGAGAAUCCCGUCCUUGACACAGACUACCAAUGCUUUGUGAUGCGAUCUCGAAGAGUCGAGUUGUUUGGGAAUGCAGCUCAAAAUGGGUGGUAAAUUCCAUCUAAAGCUAAAUAUUGGCGAGAGACCGAUAGCGAACAAGUACCGUGAGGGAAAGAUGAAAAGCACUUUGGAAAGAGAGUUAAACAGUACGUGAAAUUGUUAAAAGGGAAACGAUUGAAGUCAGUCAUGCUUUCCGAGACUCAGCCGAUUCUGUCGGUGUACUUCUCGGUUGGCAGGCCAGCAUCAGUUUCGAUCUGUGGAAAAGGUUGGAGGGAACGUGGCAUCCUCGGAUGUGUUAUAGCCCUUCUUCGAAUACAUAGAGCGGGACUGAGGAACGCAGCGCGCCUUUUAUUAGGUUGGCCCUCGGGUACAUACGCGCUUAGGAUGCUGGCAUAAUGGCUUUAAACGACCCGUCUUG